rfam:Novosphingobium sp. ST904 contig_45, whole genome shotgun sequence.
GGCGCAAGCGACGUCAUGGGUGGCCCGGAGCCGGGCCCAGGAUUGGAACCUGGUGGGAAUUUCGGCGAAAGCCCGAAGCUGCCCCCGCAACUGUGACCGGGGAGCGCCCCCUCCACGCGAUGCCACUGGGUCAAACCGGGAAGGCGGAGGCGGCGCGGCGAUCCGGAAGCCAGGAGACCUGCCCUUGACGGUCGUUCCGC